CAGUAGCCGCGGGAACACGUAGGGUGCGAGCGUUAAUCGGAAUUACUGGGCGUAAAGCGUGCGCAGGCGGUUCGGAAAGAGAGAUGUGAAAUCCCAGGGCUUAACCUUGGAACUGCAUUUUUAACUACCGGACUAGAGUGUGUCAGAGGGAGGUGGAAUUCCGCGUGUAGCAGUGAAAUGCGUAGAGAUGCGGAGGAACACCGAUGGCGAAGGCAGCCUCCUGGGAUAACACUGACGCUCAUGCACGAAAGCGUGGGGAGCAAACAGGAUUAGAUACCCCUGUAGUCCCUGUCUCUUAUAC
rnacentral:rRNA from 1 species